AAAUGACGGUACCUGACUAAUAAGCAUCGGCUAACUCCGUGCCAGCAGCCGCGGUAAGACGGAGGAUGCAAGUGUUAUCCGGAAUCACUGGGCGUAAAGCGUCUGUAGGUGGUUUAAUAAGUCAACUGUUAAAUCUUGGGGCUCAACCUCAAAAUCGCAGUCGAAACUAUUAGACUAGAGUAUAGUAGGGGUAAAGGGAAUUUCCAGUGGAGCGGUGAAAUGCGUAGAGAUUGGAAAGAACACCGAUGGCGAAGGCACUUUACUGGGCUAUAACUGACACUCAGAGACGAAAGCUAGGGUAGCAAAUGGGAUUAGAUACCCCAGUAGUCCUAGCCGUAAACAAUGGAUACUAGAUGUUGAACAGAUCGACCUGUGCAGUAUUAAAGCUAACGCGUUAAGUAUCCCGCCUGGGAAGUAUGUUCGCAAGAAUGAAACUCA
rnacentral:rRNA from 1 species